UACGUAGGGAGCAAGCGUUGUCCGGAAUCAUUGGGCGUAAAGCGCGCGUAGGUGGCCUCAUAAGUCCGCUGUGAAAGCCAAAGGCUCAACCUUUGAAAGCCGGUGGAUACUGUGGGGCUAGAGUACGGAAGAGGCGAGUGGAAUUCCUGGUGUAGCGGUGGAAUGCGCAGAUAUCAGGAGGAACACCAAUAGCGAAGGCAGCUCGCUGGGACGUUACUGACACUGAGGCGCGAAAGCGUGGGGAGCGAACAGG
rnacentral:rRNA from 1 species